rnacentral:lncRNA from 1 species
CUAGGUUGGGUGAUUCCUCUUUUCUGUAGGAGUUUCUUCCCCACUUUCACCUAGUACCGGUGACUAAAUGCCCAUGUGAGGGCAUUAAGUGGGUAAGGCACUCUCUGGAAGCUUCUGCUUGAUAAGCCGCCUGUCUAAUUUGAGAAACAGCCCUGAUGGAGGGUAGCAGGUGGAGGUGCCAGGUGCAUUGUGUCAGGAGGGAGCCAUGAAAACUGCUGAACAGUGCUUGUCUAUGGCUUCACAAGUCCUUCAGUUCUUUUUUUGCUUUACUUUGUUUCAUAGAUAUUAAUGACUGUGAGAGCAACCCUUGUAGAAACGGUGGCACUUGCAUCGAUGGUGUCAACUCCUACAAGUGCAUCUGUAGUGACGGCUGGGAGGGGGCCUACUGUGAAACCAAUAUUAAUGACUGCAGCCAGAACCCCUGCCACAAUGGGGGCACGUGUCGCGACCUGGUCAAUGACUUCUACUGUGACUGUAAAAAUGGGUGGAAAGGAAAGACCUGCCACUCACGUGACAGUCAGUGUGAUGAGGCCACGUGCAACAACGGUGGCACCUGCUAUGAUGAGGG